GAUGAAGAACGUAGCGAAAUGCGAUACUUGGUGUGAAUUGCAGAAUCCCGUGAACCAUCGAGUCUUUGAACGCAAGUUGCGCCCGAAGCCACUAGGCCGAGGGCACGCCUGCCUGGGCGUCACACGCCGUUGCCCCCCCAUCUACUCCUUCGGGAUUGCGGGGGGGCGGAUGAUGGCCUCCUGUGCGCCUAGCCGCGCGGUUGGCAUAAAUACCAAGUCCUCGGCGACGUACGCCACGACAAUCGGUGGUUGCGAAACCUCGGUUGCCCGUCGUGUGCGUUCGUCGCGCAUCGAGGGCUCGAAAAAAUGCUCGGCUCCGGCUGGGCUUUCAACGCGACCCCAGGUCAGGCGGGGUUACCCGCUGAAUUUAAGCAUAUCAAUAAGCGGAGGA
rnacentral:misc_RNA from 1 species